UUGAUUAAAUAAUGCCUUGAU
rnacentral:siRNA from 1 species